UACAGAGGUCCCAAGCGUUGUUCGGAUUCACUGGGCGUAAAGGGUGCGUAGGUGGCAGGGUAAGUUUGAUGUGAAAUCUCCGGGCUUAACCCGGAAACUGCAUUGAAUACUAUCCUGCUCGAGGUUUGGAGGGGGGACUGGAAUUCUCGGUGUAGCAGUGAAAUGCGUAGAUAUCGAGAGGAACACCAGUGGCGAAGGCGAGUCCCUGGACAACACCUGACACUGAGGCACGAAAGCUAGGGGAGCAAACAGG
rnacentral:rRNA from 1 species